GAUGAACGCUAGCGGGAGGCCUAACACAUGCAAGCCGAGCGGUAUUGUUUCUUCAGAAAUGAGAGAGCGGCGUACGGGUGCGUAACACGUGUGCAACCUGCCUUUAUCUGGGGGAUAGCCUUUCGAAAGGAAGAUUAAUACUCCAUAAUAUAUUGGACGGCAUCGUUUAAUAUUGAAAGCUCCGGCGGAUAGAGAUGGGCACGCGCAAGAUUAGCUAGUUGGUGAGGUAACGGCUCACCAAGGCGAUGAUCUUUAGGGGGCCUGAGAGGGUGAUCCCCCACACUGGUACUGAGACACGGACCAGACUCCUACGGGAGGCAGCAGUGAGGAAUAUUGGUCAAUGGGUGCAAGCCUGAACCAGCCAUCCCGCGUGAAGGACGACUGCCCUAUGGGUUGUAAACUUCUUUUGUAUAGGGAUAAACCUACCCUCGUGAGGGUAGCUGAAGGUACUAUACGAAUAAGCACCGGCUAACUCCGUGCCAGCCGCCGCGGUAA
rnacentral:rRNA from 1 species